rnacentral:rRNA from 1 species
GACGAACGCUGGCGGCGUGCUUAACACAUGCAAGUCGAACGGAAAGGCCCUGCUUUUGUGGGGUGCUCGAGUGGCGAACGGGUGAGUAACACGUGAGUAACCUGCCCUUUACUUUGGGAUAACUUCAGUAGACUGGGGCUAAUAUCGGAUAUGAGCUCCUUCUGCAUGGUGGUGGUUGGAAAGUUUCGGCGUUUCGGGAUUGACUCGCGGCUUAUCAGCUUGUUGGUGGGGUAGUGGCUUACCAAGGCUUUGACGGGUAGCCGGCCUGAGAGGGUGACCGGCCACAUUGGGACUGAGAUACGGGCCAGACUCCUACGGGAGGCAGCAGUGGGGAAUAUUGCAAAAUGGGCGGAAGCCUGAUGCAGCAACGCCGCGUGCGGGAUGACGGCCUUCGGGUUGUAAACCGCUUUCGCCUGUGACGAAGAGUGAGUGACGGUAAUGGGUCAAGAAGCAACGGCUAACUACGUG